UGAAAGCAAGGAUGAGGAUUCAAUUAGAUGUGUUAAAGGAGAGACGGAAAUCUUCACUUCUUUAUGAACUCAAAAAUUUUAUUUGGCAAUAAUUUGUCUGACUUGCUAUUG